UCCCACAGACAUGCUACCUUGGGUUGUGAUCUUGUCAGAUCUCAUAAGCCAAGCAAGAUUGGGUCAGGUCAGUGCUCAGAUGGAAGACCUCCAGGGAGAGAACCCAGGUGUUGCGAAAA
rnacentral:rRNA from 1 species